AUGAACAUGGGUUUAUUGGUGGGAAAGGAGGUAACGGUGGUGGCCUGGUACUGCUCUUUUUGGACCAGCUGACGUUGAAUGGAUCGAUAGAAGCACAGGGGUCACGUGGUGAAUGCGCUUCAAGUAAUGUUGCUCAUCGUGCUGCCCCAGGGGGUAGUGGUGCGGGGGGUAGUGUGGUUAUUUUUACUAAGGAAUUGUCUGGUACUGUUGCUGGAAAGAUUCGUGUGGAAGGAGGGACGCCUAGACAAUGCGCUUAUGGCACAGGUGGAGGAGGUGGCGGUGGUAUUGGUCGCUGGGUCGUCAAAACCUCAUCUACUUUAUACAAGUCAGGAUAAAUAUUCACAUGAAAAUACAGUAACAUGACAGCAGAACAAAAUAUACAAACAAUCUCUUUUAAAAAACCUUAUCUACCUUAUACAAGUCAGGAUAAACAUUCACAGGAAAAUACAGUAACAUCAGUAGAACAGGAUAUAAAAACCAUCUCAAGUAAGAACGAACAUUCACAAGAAAAUACAGUAACAAGAUUAGAAAAAGACAUGCACUGGCAAGCAACAUGCUUUGCAAAGAAUAUUGUAAGAAAAAUAGUAUUGCAAAAUACAUUGAAUUUCUUUCUUUCUAUAUGGUAAAAAAUCUAAUUGGAUUUACCCCUCCGUGGUGGAGGGAAACCCAAACAGGUUUUGCAACUCACUUGAUAAGGCUAUCCUUGGGCUGUCGAAGACUUAUGUAACAACAAGAGAAUAUGAACUAGUUCAUUUUCUCUUGGUAACAAUCAAUAGAAUAUGGAUAGACAGAUCCAAGUAACUCAUUAGUGAUUUAUUUGGUCUACUAACAAGCAUUUUACCCAUCACAAACCAAAUAUUCUCCUACAGCCCAUGAUCAAGAUAUGUCAUUCUAAGAUUGUACAUGUUAAAAUUCUGAUCCUUCUUUCUAUUUUUUCCAAGCAGUUAAACAUAAAAAAUCAACCAUUUUUCAACUUAACUGCUCUGAAAAAUGAAAGAAGUGUCAAAUCAAAAGAUUCUUUCGGAAUCUCUCUUAGAAUGACUUAUAUUUUGAUAUAAAAAAAUAAAAAAUAGAAUGUCAUAGGCACUUUAAAAUCAUGAGUGACAAAUGGUACACAUAUAUGAAUUUCACAGUCCUGUACAUGUAGCAGGAUGGUUUCCAGUUCAAAAUACAUAGAACAUAGAAAUAGUACAUACCGUAAAAGGUAUGUUGAUCAGAUGUAUCUAGUGAUACAACUUUUGGAAUGUUCAUAAAUUUUUAUACAUAUAGGUAAAUAUUGAACACCUUUCAUAUCUUUUGAAUGUGUAUGAUCUAAAAUGAAUACAUCAGAGGAUAUUUAAGUCAUUUUCUGGGAAUAACUUUCAAUCUCAGGUUUUUUGUUUUGAACCUGAAAAUGAUUUUGAAGAAAUCUUGCUAUUGUUGUGUUCAGUGUUCACAAAUAAAAAUACCAAGUCAAGGUUGGAGUUGCCAUGCAUAGCAAAACUAUAGUUCAUCAUGUGCAGCAAUUAAUAUAUUUAGGAUAAUAGGACAUUCGCAUGAUGGCGUCAUUUGACUCCCACUACAAUAAUACUUCACAAAUUUUCUUUCUUAUCUAAAUUUGUAUUCCCACAAGGGAGUCAUGCAAAUGCCCUAUCAAACACCAUUCAUGACUUUUGGAUUUCACUCACCUACAAACACAGCCUACAAACCCAUUUGUAUAUACACUGUAGUAGUCAACAAAGCCUUGUACAAAAUGAGUAAACUUUCAAUUAACAGCUA
rnacentral:lncRNA from 1 species